CAGUCGCCGCGGGAAUACGGAGGGUGCAAGCGUUAAUCGGAAUUACUGGGCGUAAAGCGCACGCAGGCGGUUUGUUAAGUCAGAUGUGAAAUCCCCGAGCUUAACUUGGGAACUGCAUUUGAAACUGGCAAGCUAGAGUCUUGUAGAGGGGGGUAGAAUUCCAGGUGUAGCGGUGAAAUGCGUAGAGAUCUGGAGGAAUACCGGUGGCGAAGGCGGCCCCCUGGACAAAGACUGACGCUCAGGUGCGAAAGCGUGGGGAGCAAACAGGAUUAGAGACCCGGGUAGUCCCUGUCUCUUAUAC
rnacentral:rRNA from 1 species